UCUCCAGAAUUUUGAAUACCUUGAAAAGAAGCCAAUGCCUUCCCUUUGGAGGCUGCAUUGAAAAUAAAUAACAAUAAAAACAGGGUGAUCCAGGCUUCUGAAGUCUUUAAAGACAAGAUCACUGUGAUCUUUGCAGCUCUGCUGUGGGAAAGAGGACAGCAUUUCACAUUUCUGGCAUUACUAAUGACAACGCAGCAACUGGAAGCAAGCAUGAAUUUCUGGGAGUAGCACUAGGAUACGGGGCUCCUGCUGUGUAGCUCACCAGAUUCUUGCUCUGCACAGCUGCCUUCUCAGUUGGGGGUUUUAAAUCAGCACAGUGAGAAAAGAUAGAAAUGACCAGGAUGCAUCUUCCUCACUAUGAGAAAAAGAGUAAUAUGCAGCCCAUGAACUGGAGAGACGACCUGGGACAUAAAAAUGAGGGCUUCUCGCUUUCCUUGAAGCCAUCUAGCAUCUCUGGGUGGUAGUCGAGUAGCAAACAAACAGAGAUGCCUUUUCUCACAUGCUGGAAGCAGUCACCCCUGUUGCCAAGGAAACAUGCUCAGGAGGGAAGGGUCACCUUUGGAGACAAUUGGAAGACUUCAAAAGCAGAUCAAUAGAGAAAUGCAUAAGACCUGAACUUCCUCACUAAUGUUGUCUCCUAUUUUAAAUGCCAUUUGCAGCAAACACUUGCUUAUGUGAUUACUACGUACUAGGAAGCAGGAAGGCAAAAUCGAAUGUGUAAUAAGUCGAGCCCAGUAUUUCUAAGCUGCGCUCUUGAAAGCCUGCGGUUUGGGAAGAGAUGUUGUAAAAGGGGCAAUGAGCAACAUCAGCAGCCUAAAUGAGGGCCCGACAUCCACGUUGAAAGAGAGGAGCCGUGUGUGAUACUUCAUUUGAAGAAAACGUUCAACUCAUUAGAGACACACAGGGUCGUAACUCGUACAAGCACAUGUGAUUAUACUUCGUCUAAAUUGGCGAAACUUUCAUUUUAAUUUCUGAAAAUGUCACAUACUAGGUCUGAAAAGUUUUUGUGUCAGUAAUGCACAGUUUCACUCAUUUGUUUGUUUGCUUGUUCUUUUACCAACUAUUUAUGAUUUCACACUAGGAGUCAGGUGCUUCUUGGGAGGUGAGAGCUGAAUAGCACACUGUCCCUGCAUUGAAGGUUUGGGGGGCUCCAUCUGGUGAGGAAGGUAGACAAGGAAACAAUGGAAGCACUUGCAGAGGGAACAGGGAGGGAUCCUUGGAAUUCCUCCUGCGAGCAGGAGGAAAGGCUUUGGGGGAGAGAAAAUGCUUUUAGCUUUGAAGAGAGGAUAAGCGUUGAGCAGGGAACCCAGGGUCGGAGGGACAUUCUAUACAGCAAAUGCAAAGGGCAGCGAGAAGAAGGACAGGUUCAUUGGCGUCCUGUUGAUCAAAGAUCAGCACAUAUUUGGGAUGUGGACAUGGCGUUCAAAAAGGAAAAUGGGCCUGGAUCAUAAGAAAAUCCUGAUAGAGUAUUAAAACAUUUAUACCUUAGUGUUAGUUUUCCAGAUUUUUCUUUUCUGUCUUUAGGGAUAGCUAAUGCAUUGCUUAACCUUAUAGUAAACAGAGCUCUAACUAGGUGGGUAUUAUUUUCUCUCCCAUUUUGAAUCCAGUUAUUUACAAAAACCUCUGUGCUUUCAGAUGGCUUACGGAAUUGGAACUUCUGUGACUAUUUAUUAUCUGAAGCAAGAAUUGUAAAAUCUAGGGAUAAACCCUCUUGCUAUUAGAACGCACAAUAAUACUUGAUUUAUCAAAACUACAAAUAAUGGAAUUUUAUAGUAAGAGUUAGGGUGGCCUCCACUUUCAAAGGAUCAGGUAGAAUUAAGCUCUCAGUGCAAUCAUUUCUUAAAAAUCAGGUAUCUUUCUUUUUGUCAGAAAAUUCAAAAGUAACAAAUGCAGAGAGCUGUUUUGAUUACUAACAGGUUAUGUUUCACACUGAAAUGCACCUCGUUAAAUCUGUAUGAGGGACAAGAAUGAAACUUUGUGUAUAAGAAAAUUUGGAGGGUGGGGAUGUUUGAGAGCUAAAGCUUUUUGGCAUCAUUUAGGUUAGCCACCUGUUCUAGCCUGCAUUUGCUGAAUAAAUUAGAUGCUCUCGGGAGAGUGUAUGCAGCUGAUUGGUCUGCCCUGUUACCAAGGCAACCAUUUUUCUCUCUGCUCUAUGACUCUGAAAGGGUUCAUAACCCAUUAGUGCUCCUCUGAGCAGGAACAAGAGAAAAAAAAAUUUUUUUUCUUGUCCUUCUUUCUUUCUUUCUUCAAGUUCUUUUAUAAAUUUCUGGUCAAGAUGAUAGGAUUAGUGGAAUUUAACAGAAACUAUUAUUAUAUUGUUUAUUUCAGCAGUACAUUUUCCAGAUGUUUGAAAAACUUACGUCCAAACCUAAAGGCACAUAAAUAACAACUAAAAGGAGGGAUGCUAAUGAUAACUAAUUUUCAAAAAAUUGAAAAAAUUUUCAAUCUCAAGAGGAGUUCAUCUAAGGUAAUAGAUGUAAAAACAAACUCUUAGAAUUUGGUCCAAAAGGCAGUGAAAGAAAGGCUAUUUCCCCAAAAUUAUUCCGGCUAUUAUUUCUGUGAGGAUUUUCUCACUGUGCAGAGGUGACGAGACAUGAAAGAGGAACAAUUUAGCAAAGGUUUUUUUAAAAUCAGAUUCAUCAACCCGUAAAUUCUGGAAAGUCAGUGAUCAUUUUCUGAAUGCUAAAGGGCUGUGGAACGGGGUGGGGGAGGGUGGGGUACUUAAACCAUGGUAAUACCAGGGAACGAACACAGGUUUUCACCCAGAAGUUACAUGUAGACCUCAGCCUAUUUGUAUUCUUCUGUUUUGUCAACCAUAUUUAUCUUUCCUCUCUAACUCAGUGGGCUGCCUCUUUGUAUUCAAAAUCUUCAUGCAUUAAGAAACAAAACAAGAACAGUGGGCCUCCUCAAACGAAUAAAUUCCUUCUAGCACCUACCUUGUAGCAGGAAUGCUACAUUUUAUCCCAUUUGCUUCAUUCUUUCUGUCAACUCAGUGAGGCAGAUGUCAUUGAUCCUGUCUUGCAAUUGAGUGGAUUACAUAAUUUGCCGAAGGUGGCACUCAUUUUUGAUUCUAGUUCUUUCUCAAGCCAUGUUUUUCCACCAUUCUCUAGGGUCUCUGAAAUUCUUCAGCAGUACUAACAGGACAUGUCCUUUCUGAACACUGAAAUCUUGGGGGAAAAAAACAAAACGAAUGGAAUAUUAAAACAUUUAAAUGGAGCCUCUUGGAGGACGUCUUGUUCUUUUAUUUGGGGUUUUUUCACAAUAAAUGUUUGCCUCAUUUAUUACAGCACUAAA